GGGGCAGGAUCUAGUGGGACCGACUCAUAAUCCGUCGGUCGUCGGUUCAAGCCCGACCUGCCCCACCA
rnacentral:tRNA from 1 species